AAACGUGCAAGGAUAAAGUACAAGAUUAUGGAAAGACAAACUUUCUUGCUUCUUUCUGAUGACAAAAAGGUUAAAUCUGGAAAAUCUAAAAUCUUGGUGACAACGAAUGAAAUGAUAAGUGAAUUUAAAAAUACAUGCAGAAAGAUCAAGAGUUUAAAAAGAAAAUCAUUUUGGGCAUUUUGUACAAGAACCAAGAUUUCAAGAACUUUUGCAAAUGUGGAUUAACUGGAAAUGUUUCACAACCUAUCUACACGUGAUGUCAGCGAAAAUUUAAGGAACAAGCAGAGUGAUGCUGGGACAAGGAGCAGAGUGGGAGGUCCCUACCUCUGUCAUCACAUCCAGGGUCACCUCUCCCCACCCACUUAUAAUCCAGGAAAACAGUGUAAAAGGAAGAGCCAGAGGGAGGGCAACACUACCCCCUCUUUCUCCUCCUGCUGCUGUCUUCCUUACUCUCUCAAAGCAUCAGGGUCUUCAAAAGAACUGCUGGAGGAUCAGUCCUGUGGGAGUCUCUCUGGAGAUGCUGUACGCGAGAACAUUGCACGCUUCACUAAUCCGGAGUGUUGAGAUGGCAGCAGCGGGCAAGUGGGAGGAAUUCUAACAAACUAGGAAAGAUAAAUAUCUCUGCCUUGUCCUUUGGAGACUGAAGUCAAGGAUCUGGAACUAGGACACCAAAGUGAACACAUCAGAAUGAUGAACAGGGCCCGAGGGAAACUUGAAUGUCCCUGCAAGAGAGACAGGGCCUGGGUUUUGAGGUCUCUUUCCUGAGAGCUCCAAAUAGAACAGGAGUUAAGAGAGACUGAAGAAGAAUGGGACAUGGAGCCAGGAGAAGCAAGCAUCAUCAAUUCACAGCUGGGAGGUGUCCAUUUUUCUCAGUCUUCGUGGGUCUGAACGGUUCUACCUACCUAAUGAAGGGGGUGAAUCAGCCUCCCAUGAGAUAUCUUUUUCUAAGCUAGAAAUCAAAGUACCUGUUCUAAUUACCAUUGAAUAAUGAAGAGCUCAGUGGAACUGACAUUAAAAUACAAUUUAUUGUGAGUGAACCAUCCAAGGGCCUUCAGUAUCAUUUUUCUUUUUUUUUGGCUUGAGGAAGAUUCGGCCUGAGCUAACAUCUGUGCCAAUCUUCCUCUGUUUUAUAUGUGGGUCACCACCACAGCUUGGCUGAUGAGUGUUAUAGGUCCACACCCAGGAACCAAACCUGGGCCACCGAGGUGGAGUGCACCAAACUUAACCACUAGGC
rnacentral:lncRNA from 1 species